rnacentral:rRNA from 1 species
GACAGAGGUCCCGAGCGUUAGGCGGAAUCACUGGGCUUAAAGCGUGUGUAGGCGGACUUCUAAGUACCUUGUGAAAUCCCACGGCUUAACCGUGGAACUGCUUGGUAUACUGGCGGGCUUGAAUCCGGGAGAGGGAUGCGGAAUUCCAGGUGUAGCGGUGAAAUGCGUAGAUAUCUGGAGGAACACCGGUGGCGAAGGCGGCAUCCUGGACCGGCAUUGACGCUGAGGCGCGAAAGCUAGGGGAGCAAACGGG